UCUUAUUUUUAGUUGUUACUUUCUAUUAGUUUAUUAUCUUCCCUUCCCUUUAAAAAGAGCCUACCGCAAUGAGCGUCAAAUCUAAAUUAUAAUCACUUAUGUAUAGUUAUUUUCCUCGCCUUUUUACAUAUAAGAGUGUGUGCAUGUGAUUUCUAAGUCUAGACAGCCGUUGUGGUUUCUCCACCUUCGGCCUCUCUCAACUGCGCUUUCGCCUAUUUGCAUUUCCCUCUGUCGCGGCUGCUGAUGCUGCAGAGAAUGAGCGGGGCAUUGGUUGUUAAUGCACCAAAAAUAGAUCCUGUCAAAUCUUAUGAGGCCUAUCAAUCUUACAGGUGGCCACUUAAAUCCCUUCUAUUUAUUAAUGAUGGCUGCUUGAGCUGGCUCUAUGUAGGCCCUAAGGAGGUGACCUAGCACGCAGGUUAGAGAGGAUCAACAUGCUAACCCCGCCAUACAAAUGCAAUAGAAUGGUUAAUUUUUCCUCAGUUGCAGUUAAUUAUUAAUUUCCAAGUUCUGUUGUUGAGGAGGCUGUUGAGGCGGCACAACAUGCUAUAAAUGCAGCACAUGUUGAAGCUGAAAGCGUUGAGAAUGGUAUAAUUGCUGCCAACCUGAUAGGUGGACUGGAUACAGCGGUAAGUUUCAAAUAUGAUAAGGGAUAAGAUAGGAUCAGUUUGUUAUGUAAAUCUAGACUAAGAUAAUAUGUAAAUCUAGACUAAGAUAAGAGAUAAGAUAGGAUUAGUUUGUUUCUGAUUUUAGAGAUAUCAGAAUUUCUGUAAUUGCAAUAUCUCUUUGUAACUUGUUGAAAUCAGUAAAACGGAGGAGGACAAAUUCUGAUCCUUUACAUUUUA